rnacentral:rRNA from 1 species
AUUUGACCUGAGUUCAGACGAGACUACCCGCCGAACUUAAGCAUA